GUGCCCACUUUGGCCGCACAUAUACUAAGGCUGGAAUGAUACAGAGAAGAUUAGUAUGGCCCCCAUGCAAGGAUGACACACAAAUUCAUGAAGCAUUCCAUAUUUAA